rnacentral:rRNA from 1 species
CAAUAGCGUAUAUUAAAGUUGUUGCAGUUAAAAAGCUCGUAGUUGGAUUUCUGGUGGGAGCGAUCGGUCUGGCGCUUAGCGCGAGUACUUGCAUCGUCUCCGGCCAUCCUUGGGGAGAGUCUGUCUGGCAUUAGGUUGUCGGGCAGAGGAUCCUCAUCGUUUACUGUGAAAAAAUUAGAGUGUUCAAAGCAGGCUUAUGCCGUUGAAUAUAUUAGCAUGGAAUAAUAAGAUAGGACUUUGGUACUAUUUUGUUGGUUUGCGCACCAAAGUAAGGAUUAAUAGGGACAGUUGGGGGUAUUCGUAUUCCGUUGUCAGAGGUGAAAUUCUUGGAUUUACGGAAGACGAACUACUGCGAAAGCAUUUACCAAGGAUGUUUUCAUUAA